UACAGAGGGUGCAAGCGUUAGUCGGAGUUACUGGGCGUAAAGGGCGUGUAGGCGGAUAUUUUAGUCAAUUGUGAAAUCCCUGGGCUUAACCUGGGAAUUGCAGUUGAUACUGAAUGUCUAGAGUAUGGUAGAGGAAAGUGGAAUUCUCGGUGUAGUGGUUAAAUACGUAGAUAUCGAGAAGAACAUCAGUGGCGAAGGCGGCUUUCUGGACCAAUACUGACGCUGAGGCGCGAAAGCGUGGGGAG
rnacentral:rRNA from 1 species